GACGAACGCUGGCGGCGUGCCUAAUACAUGCAAGUAGAACGCUGAAGGAGGAGCUUGCUUCUCUGGAUGAGUUGCGAACGGGUGAGUAACGCGUAGGUAACCUGCCUGGUAGCGGGGGAUAACUAUUGGAAACGAUAGCUAAUACCGCAUAACAGUAGAUAUCGCAUGAUAGCUGCUUGAAAGGUGCAAUUGCACCACUACCAGAUGGACCUGCGUUGUAUUAGCUAGUUGGUGAGGUAACGGCUCACCAAGGCGACGAUACAUAGCCGACCUGAGAGGGUGAUCGGCCACACUGGGACUGAGACACGGCCCAGACUCCUACGGGAGGCAGCAGUAGGGAAUCUUCGGCAAUGGACGGAAGUCUGACCGAGCAACGCCGCGUGAGUGAAGAAGGUUUUCGGAUCGUAAAGCUCUGUUGUAAGAGAAGAACGAGUGUGAGAGUGGAAAGUUCACACUGUGACGGUAUCUUACCAGAAAGGGACGGCUAACUACGUGCCAGCAGCCGCGGUAAUACGUAGGUCCCGAGCGUUGUCCGGAUUUAUUGGGCGUAAAGCGAGCGCAGGCGGUUAGAUAAGUCUGAAGUUAAAGGCUGUGGCUUAACCAUAAUACGCUUUGGAAACUGUUUAACUUGAGUGCAAGGGGGGAGAGUGGAAUUCCAUGUGUAGCGGUGAAAUGCGUAGAUAUAUGGAGGAACACCGGUGGCGAAAGCGGCUCUCUGGCUUGUAACUGACGCUGAGGCUCGAAAGCGUGGGGAGCAAACAGG
rnacentral:rRNA from 1 species